rnacentral:rRNA from 1 species
GACGAACGCUGGCGGCGUGCUUAACACAUGCAAGUCGAACGGAAAGGCCCUGCUUUUGUGGGGUGCUCGAGUGGCGAACGGGUGAGUAACACGUGAGUAACCUGCCCUUGCCUUUGGGAUAACUUCAGGAAACUGGGGCUAAUACCGGAUAGGAGCUACUGCUGCAUGGUGGGGGUUGGAAAGUUUCGGCGGUUGGGGAUGGACUCGCGGCUUAUCAGCUUGUUGGUGGGGUAGUGGCUUACCAAGGCUUUGAAGGGUAGCCGGCCUGAGAGGGUGACCGGCCACAUUGGGACUGAGAUACGGCCCAGACUCCUACGGGAGGCAGCAGUGGGGAAGAUUGCACAAUGGGCGGAAGCCUGAUGCAGCAACGCCGCGUGCGGGAUGACGGCAUUCGGGUUGUAAACCGCUUUCGCCUGUGACGAAGCGUGAGUGACGGUAAUGGGUAAAGAAGCACCGGCUAACUACGUG